rnacentral:rRNA from 2 species
CUGUUUGAGUAUCAUG